rnacentral:tRNA from 1 species
GGGCGCAUAGCUCAGCGGUAGAGCACCGGUCUUACAAACCGGGGGUCGGGGGUUCGACACCCUCUGCGCCCA